rnacentral:sRNA from 1 species
GACUGUGACAAGAGGUGAGUACCUUCCAUAAAAAAAGUAAUUUCCACAUUUAGUUGAUCACAGCCAAUUACAGAUUCCUUUAUUCCUUCUCUACUCCCACUGCUUCACUUGACUAGCUUUUU